GACUGCAACAGCCGCGUAGAGAACUCAAAGUCGCGGCGCGACUCGUCAGUGUUACCCGGCGAAAUCAAAGUCUAAACAAAUCGAUAUUUGCAAGUGGCAACACUGAAUCGGAAACCAGGGAUGCGCUAAAUCAUUCGUUCUUUGGUGGUAAAAAUCUAGUUUUUUGUCGAUGGUUAAGUUUUUCUUGUCAAAGUCAAGGAACUUUAAAAUUUUGUCAACAUUUAAUUACGGGAAAAAAUAUGAAAAAAUGUAAGUAAUAGAGCCUUAUAUAAUUAAUAUUGAUAAUAUUCCUUAAAAUAUAUAUUGUUUAAAAUUUUCUGUUUAAUAAACCUUUUAAAUAAAAUAUUUUUGUAAGUAACUAUAAUAAUGGAAUUGCUAUUAUUGGGUUUGUUCUCAUAUUCCUGUUGUAAAUUGUGUUUUUUUUUUUCAGAAUUAGUUCAGCAUUAUCCUAGACACGAUUGAUAUCCCAGCACCCAAAGGAAAAUAUUAUUAACAGGAACGUGCCAACGGGACCCGAAGUGGAGAUUCGGGAAAAGAAACACACUAGGCAAGCUUGUAGGUUUCAAACGCGGAGCUGUCCCCUUUUCUAAAUUAACUAAGAUGUGAGAAGCGCUUUAGCUUUAAGAACACCACCGACGAAGUGAACUAUUAAUAAUAACCCUAAUGGUUAUGGCGUACACUAAGCUGCCACAGUAACUCUCAAAUAAGUUUCAUAUAGUUUUUCUUGUGUCAAUAAUGGAUGGCAUGUGUGUGUACUGUGUACCUAACUGUUUAUGAUUUGACAAAUUGAUAUGAGAAGCUUAUUUCAUAGUCCUCGAUGAAGUCAUGACCAUAUUUUACUGUCUUGUUUAUAAACCAAUUUUCUUUCCAGGGUGAUAUUUAAUUGUCCUACGCCGCAUGUCGAAGAAAAAGGAAGAGAAAAAAUACUUUUCAAGGGUAAUAAAGAAGAUUCUUACAAUUUCUCUAUAGUGGUUCUAGAUGUUAAUAUAUAUUAGGUUUAAUAAUAAGAAGUCGAAUAUUGCAAGAAUAUAUAAGGCAAAGCAAUAUACUAUUAAUUUAAAUAUUGUUUUUUUUUUCUCUCCUGUAUUUUUACCUGAAAAGAAACAAAAAUAAAGUAGGUAGGUAAGUACCUAGAACUCCUAGAAGCCAUGAUUAAUUAGCUCCCCAAGGCCCACUUCAUACCUAAUGCUGACAGCAACGUAUCAUAGCAUGAUCGUAUCAGGCCCUGUCAAACAUGAAGUGAAACAUCUAGAACACGGGUUUGAUCUAGAGGAGUUUCAAUAUGGUAGACCAUAUGAUAACCGUACCUAUGCUACCUACGCAGACUAUGACAUGAGCGUAAUAACUCCUUCAAAAUGUUGUUGGUCGGCUCGGUCCAGUCACGUCACGGUAUGGUGUUGGCAGGGGACGGAAUGGUUUAGUGGGUGAUGACAUAAUAUUUCAUACAAAGCAUGAUUUUGAGCCGGACAUGAUCCUGUUAUAGCCACGUAUUACAUCAUUCUGUUACAGUACGAUGCAGCGGGCACAGGCCACAUGUAGGUAUGUUUUGUUGAAGUCGAGGAAGGUUCCAAACGGUACCUAAAUAGUAAGAGAUUGUUGAAAUUAGACAUCUAACCGUGAUCCUAAAUAUUACUACUAAGACUAUGGCUUACUUAAUAAGUUGGAUAGUUUGUUUUGAACAUUUGUACCUACCCACCUCAUCGGCUUCAUUUAUGUACAAGCAAGCGGGCUCCGUUGUUAGGUUGAUGAAAGUUUUGUGUAAGGAAGUCUUAGGAUUACUUUUACAAACUUACGAACCUGAAUUGAAAUUUAAAAAUCCUACAUAUGUACCUAAUUACUUAAUUGAGUACCUACAAACUAGCUGUUUGAAAUUAAAGUUGUAAACAUGAUGGGUGUGUUGUGGUACUUGUAGGUAUCACCGUGCAUAAUCAAUAUAAGAGUGCGUAAAGCACAUUUAGUGAUUGUUCCAUACUUCCUUAUUCCUUAGGGCAAUAAGUAAUUAUACAAAUUAUAUUAUUACAUAAUAUAUGAAACUUGUUUUUAAGUUAUAAUUAUCAUGAGUUUAGUUACAAAAGUACAAGCAAACCACCCGCGAGAGCGAGUCGCGUUAUAAAGUCGCGUAGACUUCGACUCGCGGAUUGACAUAAAGACGAGAGAAUAUUUUGUCUCAAAAUAGGCAGUUGUGCUACGGAUUUUAGUUCAAAGUCGCGAUCGUUGUCAUUUUCUGACAGUGACACCUGCACCUCUAGCACAUCUUGCAUCCGCGACUUAGACCGCGACUCGAGUCGCCAUUCCCGCGGCUGUCAAAUCUGUCGAUUUCCGUAGCAUAACUUGUACCCGCGACUGCAACAGCCGCGUAGAGAACUCAAAGUCGCGGCGCGACUCGUCAGUGUUACCCGGCGAAAUCAAAGUCUAAACAAAUCGAUAUUUGCAAGUGGCAACACUGAAUCGGAAACCAGGGAUGCGCUAAAUCAUUCGUUCUUUGGUGGUAAAAAAUCUAGUUUUUUGUCGAUGGUUAAGUUUUUCCUGUCAAAGUCAAGGAACUUUCAAAUUUUGUCAACAUUUAAUUACGGGAAAAAAUAUGAAAAAAUAAUAAGUCCAGCAUUAUCCUAGACACGAUUGAUAUCCCAGCACCCAAAGGAAAAUAUUAACAGGAACGUGCCAACGGGACCCGAAGUGGAGAGUCAGGAAAAGAAACACACUAAGCAAGCUUGGUCAUAUUGAAUUGUCCUACGCCGCAUGUCCAAGAAAAAGGAAGAGAGAAAAUACUUUUCAAGGGUAAUAAAGAAGAUUCUUACAAUUUCUCCAUUGUGGUUCUAGAUGUUAUUAUAUAUUAGGUUUAAUAAUAAGAAGUCGAAUAUUGCA